CAGUCGCCACGGUAAGACGGAGGGUGCUAGCGUUGUUCGGAAUCACUGGGCGUAAAGGGCGCGUAGGCGGCCUGUUAAGUCGGAUGUGAAAGCCCGGGGCUCAACCCCGGAACUGCAUCCGAGACUGGCAGGCUUGAGACCGGGAGAGGAGGGUGGAAUAUCCAGUGUAGAGGUGAAAUUCGUAGAUAUUGGAUGGAACACCGGUGGCGAAAGCGGCUCUCUGGCCCGGAUCUGACGCUGAGGCGCGAAAGCGUGGGGAGCAAACAGGAUUAGAUACCCCAGUAGUCCCUGUCUCUUAUAC
rnacentral:rRNA from 1 species